rnacentral:rRNA from 1 species
UUGACGGGGGCCCGCACAAGCGGCGGAGCAUGUGGCUUAAUUCGACGCAACGCGAAGAACCUUACCAAGGCUUGACAUAUACCGGAAAGCAUCAGAGAUGGUGCCCCCCUUGUGGUCGGUAUACAGGUGGUGCAUGGCUGUCGUCAGCUCGUGUCGUGAGAUGUUGGGUUAAGUCCCGCAACGAGCGCAACCCUUGUUCUGUGUUGCCAGCAUGCCUUCGGGGUGAUGGGGACUCACAGGAGACUGCCGGGGUCAACUCGGAGGAAGGUGGGGACGACGUCAAGUCAUCAUGCCCCUUAUGUCUUGGGCUGCACACGUGCUACAAUGGCCGGUACAAUGAGCUGCGAUGCGCGAGGCGGAGCGAAUCUCAAAAAGCCGGUCUCAGUUCGGAUUGGGGUCUGCAACUCGACCCCAUGAAGUCGGAGUUGCUAGUAAUCGCAGAUCAGCAUUGCUGCGGUGAAUACGUUCCCGGGCCUUGUACACACCGCCCGUCACGUCACGAAAGUCGGUAACACCCGAAGCCG